GGUGAGAUGGCCGAGUUGGUCUAAGGCGCCAGGUUAAGGUUAAGCCUAACCCACGAUUUGUGCAAAUAAAUCUCCUGGUCUGGAAACAGGCGUGGGUUCGAAUCCCACUCUCAUCA